rnacentral:antisense_RNA from 1 species
GGUAACCAAAGAUAAUUGCUGGGUUGAGUGUCGGAUUGGUUACGAGGCGAACAUCACCGCCACCUGGUGCCCAGGUAUCAUACAAACCACCAACAAACAUGGCUUUGAUUACUAACAGUAAUGCACCAAUUCCGAGGAUUACCAAGUGGAAACCUAGAAUCGAAGUCAUUUUAUCCUUGUCUCUCCA